rnacentral:lncRNA from 1 species
AUGGGAAAGACUAGAGAUCUCUUCAAGAAAAUUAGAGAUACCAAGGGAACAUUUCAUGCAAAGAUGGGCUGGAUAAAGGACAGAAAUGGUAUGGACCUAACAGAAGCAGAAGAUAUUAAGAAGAGGUGGCAAGAAUACACAGAAGAGCUGUACAAAAAAGAUCUUCACAACCCAGAUAAUCACGAUGGUGUGAUCACUCAUCUAGAGCCAGACAUCCUGGAAUGUGAAGUCAAGGGGGCCUUAGAAAGCAUCACUACGAACAAAGCUAGUGGAGGUGAUGGAAUUCCAGUUGAGCUCUUUCAAAUCCUGAAAGAUGAUGCUGUGAAAGUGCUGCACUCAAUAUGCCAGCACAUUUGGAAAACUCAGCAGUGGCCACAGGACUGGAAAAGGUCAGUUUUCAUUCCAAUCCCAAAGAAAGGCAAUGCCAAAGAAUGCUCAAACUACCGCACAAUUGCACUCAUCUCACAUGCUAGUAAAGCAAUGCUCAGAAUUCUCCAAGCCAGGCUUCAGCAAUACAUGAACCGUGAACUUCCAGAUGUUCAAGCUGGUUUUAGAAAAGGCAGAGGAACCAGAGAUCAAGUUGCCAACAUCCGCUGGAUCAUGGAAAAAGCAAGAGAGUUCCAGAGAAACAUCUACUUCUGCUUUAUUGACUAUGCUAAAGCCUUUGACUGUGUGGAUCACAAUAAACUGUGGAAAAUUCUGAAAGAGAUGGGAAUACCAGACCACCUGACCUGCCUCUUGAGAAAUCUGUAUGCAGGACAGGAAGCAACAGUUAGAACUGGACAUGGAACAAUAGACUGGUUUCAAAUAGGGAAAGGAGUAUGUCAAGGCUGUAUAUUGCCACCCUGUUUAUUUAAUUUAUAUGCAGAGUACAUCAUGAGAAACACUGGGCUGGAAGAAACACAAGCUGGAAUCAAGAUUGCUGGGAGAAAUAUCAGUAACCUCAGAUAUGCAGAUGACACCACCCUUAUGGCAGAAAGUGAAGAGGAUCUAAAAAGCCUCUUGAUGAAAGUGAAAGAGGAGAGUGAAAAAGUUGGCUUAAAGCUCAACAUUCAGAAAACGAAAAUCAUGGCACCUGGUCCCAUCACUUCAUGGGAAAUAGAUGGGGAAACAGUGGAAACAGUGUCAGACUUUAUUUUUGGAGGCUCCAAAAUCACUGCAGAUGGUGAUCCCAGCCAUGAAAUUAAAAGACGCUUACUCCUUGGAAGAAAAGUUAUGAUCAACCUAGAUAGUAUAUUCAAAAGCAGAGACAUUACUUUGUCGACUAAGGUCCAUCUAGUCAAGGCUAUGGUCUUUCCUGUGGUCAUGUAUGGAUGUGAGAAUUCGACUGUGAAGAAGGCUGAGGGCCGAAGAAUUGAUGCUUUUGAUCUGUGGUGUUGGAGAAGACUCUUGAGAGUCCCUUGGACUGCAAGGAGAUCCAACCAGUCCAUUCUGAAGGAGAUCAGCCCUGGGAUUUCUUUGGAAGGAAUGAUGCUGAAGCUGAAACUCCAGUACUUAGGCCACCUCAUGCGAAGAGCUGACUCAUUGGAAAAGACUCUGAUGCUGGGAGGGAUUGGGGGCAGGAGGAGAAGGGGACAGCAGAGGAUGAGAUAG